GGUGAGAUGGCCGAGCGGUCUAAGGCGCCAGACUAAGGACUAGGGUACAUUGUGCUCAUCACUAACCCACUGGGUUAUCUGGUCCUCCGGGGCGUGGGUUCGAAUCCCACUCUCAUCA